AAACAUGUUCAUGUGGUUUGUAAAUGGUCAAAGUUAUUUGUGAACAUGUCAUUUCGAUGAUGGAAGGCAUGCACUUAGAAGAUUAGGAACACUUUGUGAGCAGAUUCAAGAACUAAAUUUUCAAGGAGUUGCUAUUAUCUUGAUGACAUAUGGUGAUGUCGGAGCUGGUCGACAAUGACUUACAUAAAAGAAAUUAAAAUGACAGACAGGACAAAUGUUCUAUAAAGAAAAUCCGGCUUGGAAAGCAGAAGGAAGGGGUUGAUGCAUUUCCUCAUAAAGGAAACUUGCAUGUUGUUUUUGAGUCUAUGGAGACUGAUCUUGAAGCUGUUAUUCGAGAUAGAAACAUCGUUCUUUCACCCACUGAUAUAAAGUCCUAGCUUCAAAUGACAUUAAAAGGACUUGCUUUUUGCCAUAAGAAAUGGGUUUUGCACAGGCUGAUUUUGGAAAGGAAGUAUGAGUAUCCGAGUGGUUCUUUCGAAGAUCUUCGACUUUCAGAUCCGUUACCCUUUAUUGUUUGGGAUUGUUUGUUGUCGCGGAUAUGAUCAAUGUGGGAAUUUGUAGUUGGUCAGACUACAAAUAAACCAUUGGAAGGUAAUAUUCCUUAAUUGUUUGAAUCCGAUCUUUCCUCCUUUAUCGUUGGGCUUGUGUAUUGAUGAUUUUCCCGUUUUUACUUUUGCUCAAAUAGGUUUUCUUUUGAAACGUUUUUUAGGUGAGUUAAUGAGUUGCUGUAAAGAAGGCAAAACCAUAGGCAGACGACGUUGAAUAUCAACUACAAAUCUAUUGUAAUUAUACAUGUAGUGGCCGUAAUGUUUUGUAAUAGGUACCAAAUUCCCAACGCAUGUGCGGCAUGAAAAGUUUGUAACACACAUCCGGUCUUAUUAAUUGUAUUCUUUUAAUGA